UACGUAGGGACCGAGCGUUGUCCGGAAUCAUUGGGCGUAAAGAGCGUGUAGGCGGCUAUUUAAGUCCUGCGUGAAAUCCUGCGGCUCAACCGCAGACGGUCGUGGGAAACUGGAUGGCUAGAGUGCGGGAGAGGAGAUUGGAAUUCCUGGUGUAGCGGUGGAAUGCGCAGAUAUCAGGAGGAACACCGAUGGCGAAGGCAGAUCUCUGGGCCGUAACUGACGCUGAGGAGCGAAAGCAUGGGGAGCGAACAGG
rnacentral:rRNA from 1 species